UACGUAGGGUGCGAGCGUUAAUCGGAAUACUGGGCGUAAGGCGUGCGCAGGCGGUUAUGCAAGACAGAUGUGAAAUCCCCGGGCUCAACCUGGGAACUGCAUUUGUGACUGCAUAGCUAGAGUACGGUAGAGGGGGAUGGAAUUCCGCGUGUAGCAGUGAAAUGCGUAGAUAUGCGGAGGAACACCGAUGGCGAAGGCAAUCCCCUGGACCUGUACUGACGCUCAUGCACGAAAGC
rnacentral:rRNA from 1 species